AGGAUAAACGCUGGCGGCGUGCCUAACACAUGCAAGUCGAACGCGCUUUCGGGCUUCGGUGCGAGAGCGAGUGGCGGACGGGUGAGUAACACAUGGGUACCUACCUUGGAGUGAGGGAUACCGGCGAGAAAUCGCCGACAAUACCGCAUAGGCUUCUUCACAAGGGAAGCAAAGUGACGCGAGUCACGCUGUGAGAUGGGCCUGUGGCCGAUUAGCUAGUUGGGGGGUAACGGCUUCCCAAGGCGACGAUCGGUAGCUGGUCUGAGAGGACGAUCAGCCACACUGGGAUUGAGAACGGCCCAGACUCCUACGGGGGGCAGCAGUGAGGAAUUUUCCGCAAUGGAGGCAACUCUGACGGAGCAACGCCGCGUGCAGGAGGAAGGUUUUCGGAUCGUAAACUGCUUUUCGUCGGGGACGAGCAAGGACGGUACCCGAGGAAGAAGCCCCGGCUAACUACGUGCCAGCAGCCGC
rnacentral:rRNA from 1 species